UUGAGUGUUUUGGGUUUUUUAUGAGGUUUUGGGGUUGGGCUUGUUUUAAGAAAUCGAUAGCAAUGUUGUUAUUUAGAAGGAGUUAAAAGCCUCUUUGUUAUGUUGUAAAUGGAUUUUGGAUGUGUUUCUAAAGUCCAUUUCAUAUAAGUUUUUUAAUAAUUUAGACCCCGAUAUUGGGUAUAAUAGUGAAUCUUCCAUUUAAUUUUUGGUAUCAAAAUCCCAAGUGCAGAAUCAAAGUGGAAGCUAAUAUGUGCCACCACAUAUCAGUGGCGGACCUAUUAAGGCGCAAGGAGGUGAAGCUGCACCUACCCUCAUCGGAAAAACCAUUGUGGUUCUCAAUCUUCACCACGUGUCUGAUCGCGUUGCGCGUGAUCGGUUGAUGAGGCAUUGUUGAGUAGGCCGUCUACGUGACACAUCCUGAUUGACGAGGCAUUGCUGAGUAGGGCGUCCACGUGACACGUUAAUGCAUGUCAAGAAACAUUGAUACCCUCUUUGUUUUUUCAAUUGCUUACUCUAAAGGAGUCUAGACCGGUGAGAGGGCAAACCCUACUCAAAUAUUAAUAUUAAAAUAUUUAAACAACCCUACUCCAUGUAAUUAAGCUAGACUCUAAUUAUUUUGACUUUUCUUAAUUCCCCAUCUUGUGUACUAAAUUAAGGCAAUAUAUUGAGAUAAUUAGGCUCAUUAUUAUGGCGAU